CCGUCGAUAGCUCAGUUGGUAGAGCGGUGGACUGUAGAAGUAUGACUUGCUGGUAUCCAUAGGUCGCUGGUUCAAAUCCGGCUCGACGGA
rnacentral:tRNA from 1 species